CGAUUUUCUUCUUCAACACAAUCAAUAAACUCUAAAAAUUCUUCAACUUCUUCAUACAUUUUUUAUUGUAAUUAGAAAAACGAAAAAUAUGGAUUGGAAGUCGAACUGAAUUGGAAAAAAUUAAUAUUCAGUCAAGAUUCAAACAUAAACAAACAAAGUUAGGUUAGAAACGCGUACUUAAGGUAGGUCUAUCGACGACUUGAGACUCAGCUGUCAUUAGUGUCAUUUUUUGGCUCUUCAAGACCGCAUUUCACGUUGAGUACGGUUUAUGAAACACAAAUUUGUUCAAGGUCGACCUUAAGCAUCGACGCUGACUUGAGUACCGACUAUGAAUACGGGCCUAAGGCCCGUAUUUAUAGUCGAGUCUCAAGACAGCGUCGAUGCUCAAGACCGACCUUGAACCAACUUUGUGUUUUAUAAACCGAUCUCGAGACCCGACGCAGUCUUGGGAAGUGUAAAAUGACAGGCGAAUCUCAAGUCAUCGAUCGACCUUCCUCAAGACCGCGAUUCUAACCUAACUUUGUUUGUUAUUGUUUGAAUUUUGAAUAUUUUUAAUUCAGUUCCAACAUAUAUUUUUUGUUUUUCUAAUUACAAUAAAAAUGUAUGAAGAAGUAAAAGCAUUUUUAUAGUUUAUUGAUAAUAUUGGAGAAGAAAAUCGCCCAGGAAGUAUACAAAAGCGAUAUAUUCAAGAUAAAAAUAUAAUCUAAAAUACAAUGGAGUAUUACAAUAUUGAAAUUCAUCAGCGCAUUAACUUAAACAACAAAGGUUUUAUGCUACUUAUAGGAAUAUAACCAGUUUUUAUAAGGAAGCCCACUUUCCAAAAAUGUACAGGUACUAGAAGAGAAAUUAUGUAUAUUAUUGUAUUGUUCAACAAGGUUAUCAAGUCAUUCAAUAUUUGAUCUAAGAGCAUUAAGAGUGAAAUUGUGAAAUGGAAAGAAGUGAAAUUCCAGGAUUAUUAAUAGGAAUAGAUGACAGUAGUGGGUAUGCAUGAAGACACUAUCUUUUUACCCCAGUAUUACAGCCAGGUAAUGAUCAAGAAAAUAAGAUAUUUUUACCAUAGUACUCAUGUGAGAACAAGAAAUGUAGAAAAGCUAUUUGGAACCUGGAAAAGAGAGUUUCCUUGUCUUCAACAAGGUCUACAAACCAAAUUAUAUAC